rnacentral:lncRNA from 1 species
GGUUUUGAUAUAUAAUUGGGAGUCGUGAGGAGUUGUAAGAACUUUCAAUCCUUGUUAAAAUUUACAUCAAAUAGUUAUACAUACUCGAACACCUUUGAUUUGGGCAUCAAUGGAUAUACAAAUAUAAGAAAAGAAACUAUCAGCACAGAGAGGAGCAUGCUCCUAUAUACCUUACACUCACGGACACUGCCUACCUCUCUCUGCUCCUUUCCGAAUCUGGGCCUUAAGUGAGUUAAGGUGUUGAGUGUCCUUUCUCUUUGAUUUCCAUGUACUAGUGAGGCAAAAGCAACAAUAUCAGGUCCUACUCUUUCUCUCUUAGACAUUUAGGUGUAUCCUCUCUUUGUAAGGCGUCAUUCUAUCUAUCUAUCUCUCGCACCAUAUAGGGCAAGUAAGAACUGCAGUGAUCAGCCCCUUUCCCAUUCUGUGAGGGACGUUUUUGUGGAGAUCUUGAAUUUCCAAAGCUUAUCUAAAGAUGAGGUGGUUGAAGUGAUCCUCUCACAUAUUGGUUAUAUGGGAUAAGGCUAAAUCUAAUUUAAAUUUCAG